rnacentral:rRNA from 1 species
UACAGAGGUCUCAAGCGUUGUUCGGAUUCAUUGGGCGUAAAUGGUGCGUAGGCGGCGCGGUAAGUCGGGUGUGAAAUCUUGGAGCUUAACUCCGAAACUGCAUUCGAUACUGCUGUGCUUGAGGACUGGAGAGGAGACUGGAAUUUACGGUGUAGCGGUGAAAUGCGUAGAUAUCGUAAGGAAGACCAGUGGCGAAGGCGGGUCUCUGGACAGUUCCUGACGCUGAGGCACGAAGGUCAGGGGAGCAAACGGG